AGGGCGCAUGGUGAAUGCCUAGGCACUAGAAGCCGAUGAAGGACGUGACGAACCACGAAAGGCUUCGGGGAGCAGUAAGUAAGCGAUGAUCCGGAGAUAUCCGAAUGGGGGAACCCAAUACCGCGAGGUAUUAUCAAGAGCUGUUAAGGCUGUUGAAGGAAGACGCAGUGAACUGAAACAUCUAAGUAGCUGCAGGAAGAGAAAGAAAAAUCGAUUUCCCAAGUAGCGGCGAGCGAACAGGAAAGAGCCCAAACCAGCUGGCUUGCCAGUUGGGGUAGUAGGACUGCAAUAAAGUACUUGAAGCGAUAGCAGAAUUAUCUGGAAAGAUAAGCCAGAGAGGGUGAGAGCCCCGUAAGCGAAAUUGCAGAGAGACUUAGCAGGAUCCUGAGUAGGUCGGGACACGAGGAAUCCCGAUUGAAACCGCGAGGACCAUCUCGCAAGGCUAAAUACUAACUAGUGACCGAUAGUGAACCAGUACCGUGAGGGAAAGGUGAAAAGAACCCCGGAAGGGGAGUGAAAGAGAACCUGAAACCGUGUGCCUACAAGUAGUCAAAGCACAUUAAAGUGUAAUGGCGUGCCUUUUGUAGAAUGAACCGGCGAGUUACGUUAUGGUGCAAGGUUAAGUCAGAAAAGACGGAGCCGGAGCGAAAGCGAGUCUGAAGAGGGCGAGAGAGUAUCAUGACGUAGACCCGAAACCAAGUGACCUACCCAUGACCAGGUUGAAGGCAUGGUAAAACACGCUGGAGGACCGAACCCACGUGAGUUAAAAAUCGCGGGGAUGAGUUGUGGGUAGCGGUGAAAUUCCAAACGAACUUGGAGAUAGCUGGUUCUCUCCGAAAUAGCUUUAGGGCUAGCCUCGUGUGAAUGAUAAUGGAGGUAGAGCGCUGUUUGGACUAGGGGCCCGUCAGGGGUUACUGAAUCCAGAUAAACUCCGAAUGCCAGAUAUCAAUGCACGGGAGUCAGACUGCGAGUGAUAAGAUCCGUAGUCGAAAGGGAAACAGCCCAGAUCACCAGUUAAGGUCCCCAAAUCUAUGCUAAGUGGAAAAGGAUGUGGAGUUGCGUAGACAACUAGGAUGUUGGCUUAGAAGCAGCCACCAUUUAAAGAGUGCGUAAUAGCUCACUAGUCGAGUGACGCUGCGCCGAAAAUGUACCGGGGCUAAGCAUAGUACCGAAACUGUGGAUGCAUAUCAAAGGAUAUGCGUGGUAGGAGAGCGUUCUAAGUGCGGAGAAGUUAGAUCGAGAGGACUAAUGGAGCGCUUAGAAGUGAGAAUGCCGGUAUGAGUAGCGAAAGAUAGGUGAGAAUCCUAUCCGCCGAAAGACUAAGGUUUCCUGGGGCAGGCUCGUCCGCCCAGGGUAAGUCGGGACCUAAGGUAAGGCCGAGAGGCGUAGCCGAUGGACAACAGGUAGAGAUUCCUGUACUGAAAUUGUUCGAUAAGAGCAAAGGAGGGACGCAGGAGGCUAAUGACGCAUGUAGCUGGAAAAACAUGUGCAAGCAGUAAGAAAAAACAUGAGUCAAAUGCUUAUGUUUAGAUUUCAAGCUGUGACGCGGAGUGAAAUCAAAGUAGCGAAGGUCAUGAUGUCACACUGCCAAGAAAAGCUUCUAGCCAGAGCAAUUUUACCCGUACCGCAAACCGACACAGGUAGUCGAGUGGAGAACACUCAGGUGAGCGAGAGAACUCUCGUUAAGGAACUCGGCAAAAUGACCCCGUAACUUCGGGAGAAGGGGUGCUGAUGGUAAGAUCAGCCGCAGUGAAUAGGCCCAAACAACUGUUUAUCAAAAACACAGGUAUCUGCAAAAUCGUAAGAUGACGUAUAGGUGCUGACACCUGCCCGGUGCUGGAAGGUUAAGAGGAGAGCUUAGCGCAAGCGAAGGUUUGAAUUGAAGCCCCAGUAAACGGCGGCCGUAACUAUAACGGUCCUAAGGUAGCGAAAUUCCUUGUCGGGUAAGUUCCGACCUGCACGAAAGGUGUAAUGAUUUGGGCACUGUCUCAACGAGAGACUCGGUGAAAUUAUAAUACCCGUGAAGAUGCGGGUUACCCGCGACAGGACGGAAAGACCCCAUGGAGCUUUACUGUAGCUUGAUAUUGAGUAUUUGUUAAACAUGUACAGGAUAGGUAGGAGCCAGAGAAAGUAGGACGCUAGUCUUACUGGAGGCAAUGUUGGGAUACUACCCUUGUUUGAUGGAUCCUCUAACUCGCAGAGCUGAGCGUUCUGGAGGACAGUGUCAGGUGGGCAGUUUGACUGGGGCGGUCGCCUCCUAAAAUGUAACGGAGGCGCCCAAAGGUUCCCUCAGAAUGGUUGGAAAUCAUUCGCAGAGUGUAAAGGUAUAAGGGAGCUUGACUGCGAGAGGUACACCUCGAGCAGGGACGAAAGUCGGGCUUAGUGAUCUGGUGGUACUGCAUGGAAAGGCCAUCACUCAACGGAUAAAAGCUACCCUGGGGAUAACAGGCUUAUCU
rnacentral:rRNA from 1 species